UACAGAGGUCUCAAGCGUUGUUCGGAUUCAUUGGGCGUAAAGGGCGCGUAGGCGGGAUGGCAAGUCGGUCGUGAAAUCCUUCGGCUCAACCGAAGAACGUCGGCCGAUACUGCCGUUCUUGAGGGAUGCAGAGGAGAUUGGAAUUCCCGGUGUAGCGGUGAAAUGUGUAGAGAUCGGGAGGAACACCGGUGGCGAAGGCGGGUCUCUGGGCGAUCGUCCUGACGCUGAGGCGCGAAAGCGUGGGGAGCAAACGGG
rnacentral:rRNA from 1 species